rnacentral:sRNA from 1 species
UGACUGGUUUGCUAGUUCCGAUGAAUUG